rnacentral:snoRNA from 1 species
UCCCUCCAAAUUCCUUACCCGUCAGACCUAAAUAUUGGUCUGAGUGACCAAAAAUAAAAAGGAGGGAAAAUAAAAUUGAAAUGGACUUGGAGUCUUUAGUGACAAAUGAGUUCAUUUCAAACAUUA